rnacentral:tRNA from 1 species
GGGCCGUUAGCUCAGCCGGUAGAGCACUCGGCUUUUAACCGAUUGGUCGUGAGUUCGAGUCUCACACGGCCCACCA